ACAAUUCCAGGCUCUUGCCAGUCUCAGGAUUUUUCUCGUGAAUGAACCAGGAAGGUCCAAGGACCCACCUGCAGCUGCAAGUCUUGGGAUAUGCGUGAGACCUCAGACAGCAGUCUGCCUGCUGGGUGGAGGUGGGGGGUCCAGGCCAGGAUGGGCUGACUGGCAAACAUUCCCAGGCAUGUGGGCUUAAAGCCAUCCCUCACUGAUCCCUGCUAGCAGAUGAAUAUAUCGGAAGGUGAUGAGUACGAAGGAGCUUGGCUGCCAGCCAGGCGGUGUCGGAAAAGGAUGGGAAUUAUGUUGUUGUGAACCUAAAGCUGCUCCAGGAAAGUCUAUCGAAAAGUUAAAAACAUUUAAAUAAACAAAUAAAAGGAUGAGAAUGUUGA
rnacentral:lncRNA from 1 species